rnacentral:lncRNA from 1 species
CGCCAUAAAUACGCGAACAAUGACAAUCGUAGAUGUGGUGGCAAUCAUCGUUAUUAACGACACAAUGAAUAUGGCGUUAAGGAGGCGCGGUUGUAAUGACAUGACGUGAUGGUGUUAUUGGAUAAACGUCAUAACGCGGAGCGAUGGCGUUAUUCCAUAACGCGGAGUAAUGGUGUUGUUGAUUAACGCCAUAACGCGGAGCGACGGCGUUAAUCCAUAACGCGGAGUAAUGAUAAUGGUGUUAUUCGAUAACGCCAUAACGCGGAGUAAUGGCGUUAUUCGAUAACGCCAUAACGCGGAGUAAUGGCGUUAUUCGCCAUAACGCGGAGCGAUGGCGUUAUUCCAUAAACGUGAAGCAAUGGCGUUAUUAGUGACACGGAGUAAUGGUACAACGUGCAGUGAUUACGUUAUUGAUGGCAUUAUAGAAUAACGGCGAUGGCGUUAUUCAACACUGCGGAGUUAUGACAAUAAUUUCGCCAUAACGCGGAGCGAUGGCGUUAUUCCAUAAACGUGAAGCAAUGGCGUUAUUAGUGACACGGAGUAAUGGUACAACGUGCAGUGAUUACGUUAUUGAUGGCAUUAUAGAAUAACGGCGAUGGCG